GGUCCUGUGUUGUACUGGUUAUCAAGUCUGAUUCACACGCAGAAGGUCGCCGGUUCUAUCCCAGCCAUUGCCU